rnacentral:rRNA from 1 species
UACGUAGGGUGCAAGCGUUGUCCGGAAUUAUUGGGCGUAAAGGGCUCGUAGGCGGUUUGUCGCGUCGGGAGUGAAAUCCACUGGCUUAACUGGUGGCUUGCUUUCGAUACGGGCAGACUAGAGGUAUGCAGGGGAGAACGGAAUUCCCGGUGUAGCGGUGAAAUGUGUAGAGAUCGGGAGGAACACCGGUGGCGAAGGCGGGUCUCUGGGCAAUUCCUGACGCUGAGGCGCGAAAGCGUGGGGAGCAAACAGG